rnacentral:ncRNA from 1 species
AAAGAGUUUUAUAUUGGCUCCCCUAAGUAUUAUCUAGAAACAUAUAUUAUGCAAACUAACAAAUUAUAAAUUUCGAGGCUCGAGAUAAUAAUAUAAUUUAGAGUAGUGAACACACGAGUAAUAGAUAAGAAACUACAACAUAAUAUAGCAAUAAAUUUGUAAUAAAAGCAUAAUAAAUAUGUAAUAAAGUAUAUAUAAAUAUACGUAUUGUGUGAGGCUUAUCAAAAUAUUAGGUAGUUGGUUAUAAUAAAUAGAUAACACAAGCUUAAGAUAUUUAGUCUAAUUUAGACCGUGUAGGAUCUGAAACAUAUCCUAAUUUCAAUGAAAUCAGCAGUAAGUAAUAUUCGUCAAUGAUUGAAAGAUUGAACGAGUUACCUAGUAGAAUUAUUAAAACUGAAGUUAAAUAUUAAAUAUUAUACCUAGUAAUAGGUAUAUUAUUUAAUAUUAUGUAAUAGUUUUAGAACGAACAGAAAAUUCGAAUUUUAAUAUAAGAAAGAUAUAUUAAUUGUGAUAGUAUGUACUAAUUUCAGUGCCAGCAGUAGCGGUAAUACUGAUCAUGCAAAUACUUAGAAUAUACUUGGCUUAAAGGGUUUGCAGAUGGAUGUAGAAAUACAUACUAGAAUUUAUAGGAUGUUAUUUCAAUUUUAAAAGUAAGGAUAAAAUUUGCAUAUAAUUAAAGUUGAUCCAAAAUUUGGAAAAUAAUAACAAACAUAAAUUGACAUUAAGAAACGAAAGUUAAAAUAUAGAAAUCGAUUAGAGACCGGUGUAUUUUUAACCGUAAACGAAACAUAUUGAGAAUAAAAAAAGUUAAACGAGAAUAUGUCGCCAUAGUAGUACGUUCCCAGGAAUGAAACUAAAAAUAUAAGACGGUUUGGAACUCAAGUAGUGGAACAUGUUGUUUAAUUCGAUAAUCCCCGAUAAACUUACCUAUCUUUGUAUUCUAAACAGGUGUUACAUCAUUGUCUUCAAUUCGUGUUGUGAAAUGUUAGGUUAAGUCCAAGCAACGAAUAAAACCCUCUCUAAUAUAGUCUAUAAUCAAUUCAAAUUUAUUUGGGUAGAAUUUAGACAAAAAAUAUUAUUUUAUUUUAAUCAAAAUGGUUAGCAUAAAGAGGACUAAGACAAAUCAAGAUGACCCAAAUAGAUAGGGCUACAGAUGUGUUACAAAAUAUAAUGAAAUUAAAAAUUAAAGAUAUAAUAAAAACUUUAAUAAAUUAUAUAAAUUAUAUAAUAAAAUGAUUAUUUCAUUUGCUCCAUGGAUAAAAGUUUGAAAUUCAGCUUUUUGAAAAAGGAAUUACUAGUAAUUAUCGUUAAGUAUACGAUAAUGAAUACCAUCUUUCAUUCGUACUAAUCACUCAUCACUUGCUUAAAAAAUAAAAUGUUAAGUUUUUUUAAAGUAAAUCAAUCUUUAGAUUGUUUUUAUAUUUCUUUUAUCCGUUAACACGGAUUAGAAAUAAUUGUUAUUUAUUUUUAGUAAAUACUUAACAAUAUUAAAUACGCAUUAAGUUUAAUAAGUAAGAAGUUGAAAUACAGUUACUGUAGAGGAAUCUGCAGUGGUAAAUAAAAAUUUAA